UACGGGGGGGGCAAGCGUUGUUCGGAAUUACUGGGCGUAAAGGGCUCGUAGGCGGCCAACUAAGUCGGAUGUGAAAUCCCCAGGCUCAACCUGGGAACUGCAUCCGAUACUGGAUGGCUUGAAUUCGGGAGAGGGAUGCAGAAUUCCGGGUGUAGCGGUGGAAUGCGUAGAGAUCCGGAAGAACACCGGUGGCGAAGGCGGCCUGCUGGGACGUGGCUGACGCUGAGGCGCGACAGCGUGGGGAGCAAACAGG
rnacentral:rRNA from 1 species